UGGAAACUGACUUCCUUGACCUUGGUUUCCCAGUCUCUGGGUCCUGACAGCUACAACAGAUGAGAAAACUGAUAAGCAAAGCAAGAUGUGACUUGCUCAAGAUUCAGCAGUUGACUGGUGACCAAGUUGAAUGGACGACUUGAAGGGCUCUUUUGGACACACCACCAUCAUGUCAUCUACGGUCCAUGCCAGCUGACUGUCAUGUAGCAAAGAGUAUUUUGAUGCAGAAAGAAAUAGGCAAGAUAAAGGAGUUAAUUUCUGGAUUCAGGAUUAAUGAAGAGGAUCAGAAUCAGGUCCUUCUGAGAGUAAUUGAGCUGAAGGCACUUUGGGCUGAGGAGGUAAAUGAAAAAGCAGAGGAGGGAAACGGAGUAGUCUACAACAGAAGAGGACAGAGAGUGUGAAGGCAAGG
ensembl:lncRNA